UUGGAGGGCAAGUCUGGUGCCAGCAGCCGCGGUAAUUCCAGCUCCAAUAGCGUAUAUUAAAGUUGUUGCAGUUAAAAAGCUCGUAGUUGAAUUUCGAGACCGGCUUAUUGGUCGUGCUAUUGUACGUACUGGUAUAAUCGGUUUCUCCUUUCUGACGAACUAUAAUGCCAUUAAUUUGGUGUUUUAGGGAAUCAGGACUGUUACUUUGAAAAAAUUAGAGUGUUUAAAGCAGGCUCACGCUUGAAUACAUUAGCAUGGAAUAACGGAAUAGGACGUUUGAUUCUAUUUUGUCGGUUUCUAGGAUCGACGUAAUGAUUAAUAGGGAUAGUUGGGGGCAUUAGUAUUCAAUUGUCAGGGGUGAAAUUCUUGGAUUUAUUGAAGACUAACUACUGCGAAAGCAUUUGCCAAGGAUGUUUUCAUUAAUCAAGAACGAAAGUUAGGGGAUCGAAGACGAUCAGAUACCGUCGUAGUCUUAACCAUAAACUAUGCCGACUAGGGAUCGGAUGAUGUUGAUUUUUUGAUGACUCAUUCGGCGCCUUACGGGAAAC
rnacentral:rRNA from 1 species